rnacentral:misc_RNA from 1 species
GAUGAAGAACGUAGCGAAAUGCGAUAAGUAAUGUGAAUUGCAGAAUUCAGUGAAUCAUCGAAUCUUUGAACGCACCUUGCGCCCUUUGGCCAUUCCGAAGGGCAUGCCUGUUUGAGCAUCAUGAACACCUCAACUCCUCAUGGUCUUCUAUGAUGAGCUUGGACUUUGGGGGCUUGCUGGCCCAUUUGGUCAGCUCCUCUCAAAUGAAUCAGCCUACCAGUGUUUGGUGGCACCACAGGUGUGAUAACAAUCUACGCUUGAGGUUUUCCACCAGGCAACCUUCAGUAAUUGGGGUUCACUGGGGCUCACAAAUGUCUUUCUUCAGUGAGGACAGCUCUUUGAAUGUUUGAUCUCAAAUCAGGUAGGACUACCCGCUGAACUUAAGCAUAUCAAUAAGCGGAGGA